CCCUUGUGGAGGAGGACGCCGAAGGUGGGGCUAAUGACUGGGGUGAAGUCGUAACAAGGUAGCCGUACCGGAAGGUGCGGCUGGAUCACCUCCUAACAGGGAGACAACAAAAUGUUUAAUAUUAUUAUUUUGUCACCUUAGGUCGAUCGGUAUCUCACGUUUUUAAUUUAUUAAGAAUUUCAUUUCCUAAGUUUUUCUAGGUCACACCCAUAUUUUUCCUGGGCCAUUAGCUCAGGUGGUUAGAGCGCACCCCUGAUAAGGGUGAGGUCCCUGGUUCAAGUCCAGGAUGGCCCAUAUCUCUAUGUUGGGGGUAUAGCUCAGUUGGUAGAGCGCCUGCUUUGCAAGCAGGAUGUCAGCGGUUCGAGUCCGCUUACCUCCACUGAUUACCACCUCUUCCAUAAACGGUAGAAAGGAAAUUUUUUGAGUGGUGACCAAAUUCUGAAAGAAUCUAGCUUCCUAAUGCAAUCAUUAAGAUGCUGGACUCAUUGAAUUAAUUUCAUUGUUUUCAGAGAACCUUGACAACUGCAUAGAUUAUUUUUAAAGACAAUAAGCAUCUUUAAUGAUGCAGAUUUAUUAUUUGUGCGAAUGCAUUAAUAACAAUUCUAUUAAGCUGAUGCUUCAAUUUUGAAGUUAUUGGUCAAGCUACAAAGGGCUCACGGAGGA
rnacentral:misc_RNA from 1 species